CAAACCGGAUGGGAGGAUUCGUGUCGUUCAUUAGCCGUGAACGAGUCUCAGUUGCAGGUCAAGCUGCAGCGCAAAGACUUGUCAGUCAUCCUGAUGAGCUGUCUGCCUUGAAACAGCCUGUGGCCUGAGGCGGCGGCAGCUGGAGAGCCACCACCACCGAUCAGAGGGGGAAAGAGGACUCAGUAAUCUGCUGUCUGUGAAAAGGCAACAUUUGAGCGGGUUCUUCACUCAUGUAAACAUCUUUACAUCAUCAGAAAGAGGCAGUUCAGAGCCUCCGACGCGCUGCAGCUCAGAAAAAGUCAUCCAACCCUGAUGUGGAUGGGAAAGAAAGGAAAAAGAAAGUAAUCGACCUCAUCAAAAUCCCAACAUGAGCUCUGCAGAAAGAGAGAAAAAUGCCUCGAAUAAACACCGCCAUCUUGAUUGAACCCCCACAACUCAGAUCUCACAUCUUCCUUUCGUUUCAGCAGAUAUUUUAAAUCUUUAUCACCGCCUCAUGAGGGUUUCUCGCAGCUUGUUAUCCCCACGUCUGCGCGACACAUCAGUCCCCGGUUUAAGACUUGUGUCAGAGGCGCAGAGAAUGAGCUGCCCUCGGAAAUCUGGAACUGUGAGGAAAGUUUGGAAAGCAGAAGACGAAAAAGA